rnacentral:rRNA from 1 species
AUUGAACGCUGGCGGCAGGCCUAACACAUGCAAGUCGAGCGGAUGACGGGAGCUUGCUCCUCGAUUCAGCGGCGGACGGGUGAGUAAUACCUAGGAAUCUGCCUGAUAGUGGGGGACAACGUUUCGAAAGGAACGCUAAUACCGCAUACGUCCUACGGGAGAAAGCAGGGGACCUUCGGGCCUUGCGCUAUCAGAUGAGCCUAGGUCGGAUUAGCUAGUUGGUGAGGGAAUGGCUCACCAAGGCGACGAUCCGUAACUGGUCUGAGAGGAUGAUCAGUCACACUGGAACUGAGACACGGUCCAGACUCCUACGGGAGGCAGCAGUGGGGAAUAUUGGACAAUGGGCGAAAGCCUGAUCCAGCCAUGCCGCGUGUGUGAAGAAGGUCUUCGGAUUGUAAAGCACUUUAAGUUGGGAGGAAGGGCAGUGAGCUAAUACCUUGCUGUUUUGACGUUACCGACAGAAUAAGCACCGGCUAACUCUGUGCCAGCAGCCGCAGUAAGAC